rnacentral:lncRNA from 1 species
UCAGUAUCGUUAGAUAUGUAUGCAAUUAAAAAAUGCAGCAAUUGUAAAUUUGUAACUAUAUGCAUUCUGUUUUUUUUUUUUUUUUUUUUAUUCUCGGCUGGGCCCGACUUAGGGCCGUUUAGCUAGAUAUAAUUACAAAUACAGUAUAGUUAGAGAUACAUGCAGUUGAAAAAUACAGCAAUUGCAACUAUAUGCAUUCUGUUUAGUUGGAUGAACUAGAAAACGCUGCAACUACGAAAUAAUUUGUUUGAUUGCAUGCAGUUGAAAAAUAAUUUUUAAAAUUUCAUCAUUUUAUAUAAAUGAUGAUGAGAUUACUUCAAAUGUAAAAUAAAAAUAAAAAUAAAAAUAAUUAGGGAGGUAACUUACCUUUUUCUUUUGGGCCGGACCCGACUUAGAGGCCAUUUGGCUAGAUAUAAUUAUAAAUAUAAUAUAGUUAGAUAUGCAUGCAGCUGAGAAAUGCAGUAAUUGCAAUUAUAUACAUUCUAUUUGGUUGGAUGCAGUAGAAAGCGCUGAAACUAUAAAUAAUUCUUUUGGUUGCAUUCAGUUGAGAAAUAAUUUUUCAAAUUUUGUCAUUUUAUAUAAAUAAUGGUGAGAUUGCCUUCAAUUUAAAAAAAUAUAUAUAUUUUAAAAAUAAUUAGGAAGGUAAACUUAUCUUUUCCUUAAAGUUACUCUUUACAACUACUGUAGUUGGAACUCCGAUCAAUUUGAGCGUAGUUUCAAUUGCUGCAGUUCGGUCUAUUGUAUCAAUUUGAGUGAAAUAUAUCAAACCAAACACCAAAUUA